GGAGAGGAAAAAAAAAGAGUGCAAGAGUAAGAAUUGUGUCAUAAAGUUUCUAGCACGUGUAUUUGCUUAGAGCAUAUCAUAUGUUAACUAGAGGCCUUUUGUUGUUAUAUUCAUGCCUUACUGGAAAAAACUUUUGAGAAAAAGGUGGCUACUAAUGAAACAAUUAGUGUUCAGAAAUUUCGUGAAUUGUUUCUGAGCAUAACAUCACACUCGUAUCUCCUAAGAGGGAAGUCUAAUAUUUUGGAAAAAAAUAUUGCUAAUUUGUCCUAAUAACUUAAAUACAAGUGUAGUUUUAUUGAUUUUUUACAAUCAGUCACUGUUUCUGAAUCUCUGUUGUGAUUGGGUGCUGUAAUUGCCUAUAUUUCAGCUUUAACAGGCACAAGGGAUCUAAAUACAUCAUGAAAGCUCUUUUCCUUUUUUUGUUUAUUUGUUUGAAAUUUAAAGUAGCAACAGUUACCGUUCAGUGGAGAUUUGAAUAGAAAUUGGAAAGAAGCAAUAAAAAUUUAGCUUAGUGAUAUGUUGCCAGAGGAAAAUGUGCCUUUGAACAAUUUUUAAUUGUUUAUUUAAAAAAUGUAUCCCAACGAAAUCUUUGCUAUGUAAAAGCUGUGAAUUCGUACCGAUAUAUGUGUAAAAAUAGAGUAUCUUAUUUGCAGAAGCUAUAUAAUUUGUCAAAAGUAGUUCUGAAGUUUUAAAACUAUUUGAUCCUGUAGUUUGUUUUUGCAUUGCAGUUAAACAAACCAUUAAACAGAUGUGUUGAACCCA